GUAUACAUAAUUUUUUCUCCCAUAGUAGUGCUGUGUUGUAAGUAUCUAUAGUUCUCAGUGCCUCACAGCAGUAUCUCAUUGUAAAUCCAUUCCAAGAACAAUAGUUUGCAUCUGUUAACCCCAAGCUCCCAAUCCCUCUUAAAAUAUCUUCCUCUGUCUUAGCUCAAUCAGUCUAAGCCCACUAAGAACAAACUUGUAAGGUGAAGAAGUAAAGUUUAUUGACCCAUUUCAAUGAGGGAACCUGUAAUUAAGAGAAACCAAGAGCUACUCUCACAAAACAGAGAAGAUAUCAUUAUAAGAGGUCAGGGGGAAGGAUACAGUUUAAAUUAAAUUUAAAUGAAACAAACUCACAGAAAAGCAGACCUUUCCAUGAAGAAUUCAACAUCGAACUUGAAGGAGUUCUCUUGUGGCACAGCAAGUUAAGGAUCUGGCAUUGCCAGUGAAGUGGACUGAGUGUUUGUGGUGGCACAGGUUUGAUUGCUAGCCCUCCCAGGAACUUAGUUUCUUAAUUCUAUAUGAAUGAAGGCCCCAGGAAGGGCCAGAAAACAAAAAACAAAAAAACUCACUUGGAUUAUAAAGUAAGACUAAGAUUUUUUUAUUUUUUACCUUGGAAACUACAAAGUCAAAGUAAAUGUUCAACUCCAUGUCCAGGAAUACUUUUUGUGAAGGUCUAUACCUGGCUUGUAAAUUCAGGAGCUUCUCUGUAGCAAAGUGACUUAGAUCCUCCAGCUAAGCAUGGAAUUAUAUCUGUUAUAAUUUCAAAUAGAAAAGUUCCUGAUGGUCUAUGAGUUUAGCGAACCAUGUUCUCAGUGAGGUAAAAAAAAAAAAGCAGUAGUCAUCCAAACAGAGAUUUUUUAUGACACCUCAUGGCUGCAGCAUUGCCUGGUUGAAAUAUGAUUUCUUGAUAACUCUUCAGCUAUAUGUAUCUGCUGCAUUGCUUGGUAUAUUUUCAUUUCUUCACUGGAACCAAAAAAACCAUUUUUUUUUGUCUUUUUAGUCUUUUUAGGGCUGCACUGCAGCAUAUGGAGGUUCCCAGGCUAGAGGUCUAAUCAGAGCUGUAGCCUCCGGCCUACACCAGAGCCACAGCAAUGAGGGAUCCUUAAGCCACUGAGCAAGGCCAGGGAUGGAACCCCCAACCUCAUGGUUCCUGGUCAGAUUCGUUAACCAUUGAGCCACGACUGGAACUCCCUGGAACCAAAAUUUAGUUUCUUAAUUCUAUAUGAAUGAAAAUUAAUGUUUAGUCAUUAUGCUUGCUACAGUUUAGUUCCUUGGAUAGUUUUCUUUAGAUAAAAUAUUAUACCUUCUUGAAUUUCUAUUAAGUCUGAAUGACAGAAUAAAAACUAAAUACAAAAACAAUUCAGUGAGCCACUGGGAGGUACAAAUAAGUAUUUUAGAAAAUAGAUCAGGGGAUAAAAUUGUAAAUCAUAUAAUCAGAUUUUCAUCUGGAAAUAUAAAUAAAAUAGAAUCCAUUUCCAUUAAAUGACCAGAUUUAAGAGUACUUCUUUUUUUGCUAUUGUUGUUUUUAACUAACAUACUUUUAAAAUGAUACUUUAAACAUCCCAAUGAGAAGGGAGAGACCAGAUAUAUGAAUAAUUUAUUAGAAACCCCAAUCUGAUCUAAUUAAAAAUAUGAUCUGUAAGGCUAACAUAUAUAAAUCAACUAUCUACCUGUAAAUGUUUCUUAAUAUUUUCAAGUUUAUAUUAUCACAUUUAUUCUACGUAGUAGAAACUGAAUAAAAUACAGUGAUGGCAAGUAUUAGCAAAAGUGAAAAUGAAUAUGUAAAAUCCAGAAUGUAUGUACAGCAGAUACUGAGGCAGGGCUAAUUAUGUAUUAAUCUUCUUAAUCCUAUUUGUUUGAGAAGAAAAUUGGAGUUUUAAAGUAAUUAUUUCAAGUCCUCAAAAGAGAAACCUCUCACGCUUUCUCUAUUAAGGUAAAAGCUACAUAGGAUAUUUAUGUUAACCAACACAGCUACUGAAACUUAUAUCAAUAAUACAUGUGUAUUCCUAUAAUUAAGAACCUGACUUUACAAAUUAAUUUGAUUUCAUAGCAUUUCAUGAGGACUUCUGUCAAAUAUGUAAUUAUUUUGCACAAUUUAGAGGAAUAACAAUAGUUUAAUUUCUUCAAUUUAGACAUAUUCCUGCUGUUUCUUUUCUGAAUAAUGUUCUCUUAUCUAAAAAUAUACAAAUAGCUAUACUUUAAUAUUUAUUGUUACUCUGGUUUCACAAUUAUGUAUUUUUAAAAAUUUUACCAUUGAUACUUUUUUCUCUUAUUAAAUUAUUGUUAAUUUACAAGGUGCCAAUUUCUGCUAUAUUGCAAAAAACAUUAUAUUGUCUUUUUCUUAUAUUAUCUUCCAUCAUGUUCUAUCCCAAGAGUUUGGAUAUAGUUCCCUUUCUAUACAAUAGGACUUCAUUGCUCACCUAUUCUAAAUGUAAUAGUUUGCAUCUAACUCCAAACUCUCAGUCCAUCCCACUCUCUCCUACCUCUGGCUUGGCAACCACAAGUCUGUUCUCUAUGUAUGUAAGUCUGUUUCUGUUUUGUAGGUAGGUUCAUUUAUCAUUGAUACAUUUUAACUUUGUAUUUUUUCCCCAUAAGAGUACUAUAUCAAUAUCUCAAAAUAGAAUUCUAAAAGCUCUUCAUGACAUUAAAUAUAUGCUCAGACACAAUUCCUGAAAACAUACUGAACAUAUAAAAAAUACUUAAUUGUGCCAAGAAAAAUUAUGUUGCAUUGAACUAUUAAUUUUGAAUCAAGAGUCAUUAUAUGUGGUAUUAGGUGAAAACUUUCUCAUUCUAUUUUUUUUUAACCUAUAUAUGUCAGUGUCCCAUUUCAAACUUAAAUGUAGCUCAGUCAUGUAAUGUUAUUUCAGUCCUAAAUUUCCUCUAUAGCACUGUCCUACUUGUGUCAGUUGAUUGAGCCAAACUAUAGAGAAGUCAUUAAGAAAAUAAAAAGAAAAAUAAAAUUAAAAUAUUAAUAUAGAUAACAUACUAGGUUCAUGUACUAUUUGAAAGAAUAUUUCUAAAAUCUACUACAUACAUUUUAUGAAGUUUAAAAAAUUUUAUACGUUAUUGAUAUAGUAUUCAGUAUUAUCUAUGCUAAUGUUUAGUGUUGUUAUAGCAUUAUUUAUAUAGUAUUAUUUAGUAUUGAUAGCGGUAUUAUUAUUUAGUAUUGACUUAGUAUUGAUAUAGUAUUAUCAUUUAAACUGAUCAAUAUUUAAAUUUCAAAUUGUCCUAAUAAUGCUCUUGGAGUCUAUACUCCAUCCUGGCUCAUUGUCCAAAUUGUAAUCAUGUUACAAUUAUUUGCCAUAACACUUUAUAUUCCUUCAACUUGAAAUGAUUUUUCAAUCUUUCAUGACUUUGUCUUUAAAAUGUUUAGGAUAUUUAUUGGGCAGAACAUCAAGUUUAGUCCUAUUUUCCUAAUAAUAAAAUUCAAGCUGGAGUUCCCCUUGUGACUGAGGGAUAAGAACCUGACCUAGUAUCCACGAGGAUUCAGGUUUCAGUGGAUUAAGGAUCCGGCAUUGCUGCAAGCUGCAGUAUAGGCUACAGAUACAGCUUGGAUCCGGUGAUGCCCUGGCUUGGUGUAGGCCACAGCUGCAGUUCCAAUUUGACCUCUAGCCCAGAAACAUCAAUAUAUGCUGGAGUUGUGGCCUUAAAAAUAAAAAAAAUAAAAAUAAAAAAAUAAAAUUCAAGCUAUUCAUUUUUAGUAAGAAUAUCACAGAUAUGGUAGUGUGCCUUUCUAUGUUCAUGAUGUCUGGAUGUCAUCAUGCCGGCCAUUUCUUUAUUAGUAAUGUCAACUGUGGCCACUUAGUUUGGAUGAUGUAUGUAAAGCUUUUUCCCACUAUAAAUAUGAUUUUUCACUCUAAUUCAACAAUAAGUUGUGAAGAGAGAUUUUGAAACAAAUAUUCUGUUUCUCAUUAAAUUUACAUUGGCUAAUUUUAGUAUCUAUUGCUAUUAAAGCAAAUAUUACUAUUACGGUUGAUAAGUAUUGUUUCACUAACCUCAUAAUUUAUUCUACAUUUAUUAUAUCAUCUAUAUAAUAUCCAUAUAUAUCCCUAUAUAAAAGUUACACAUAUACCAAUAUUUAUUUAUUUUUGCUUUUUUAGAUCCUAGCUCCAUCUGUGACUUACAUCACAGCUCACAGCAACACCAGAUCCUUAACCCACCGAGUGAGGCCAGGGACUGAACCCAUAAUCUCAUGGAUACUAGUUGGAAUCCUUACCACAGAGCAAAAAUGGGAACUCCAUAUCCCUAUAUUUAAAAAUAGAUUUCAUUUCCUAUUUUCUCAUGUUAUUACUCGAUUUAUAUCUUAAUACACUCACAGAUACCUAUUUCAUGGGUACAUUAUAUUAUCAUUAUUUGUUUUGAUGAUUUUAUUAUUUCAUAUUUGGCCAGCAUGAGUACCUUCAACUGACCAUUGACACACAUGCUUUUUACCUGGAAAACUUACUUUAUGGUACAACAAAAUAUUCAAAGAAUACCUUACAUUUUCUUCUUAUAGUUCUAGAGUUUGCCAUUACUUUCAGGAGCCUGUAGAAACAUGUCAUUUAGAAAACAAUAUUUUGCUUUAGAUGUGCUUACUAUUAUUGGUAGUCAUCACAUAUAAGCUCAACACAUUUAAAUACACGUUUGUGUUCUACAUAUAUAUAUAUAUGUUUCUAUCUAUUUAGGUAUCUGUGUGUGUGUAUGUAUGUAUGUAUGUUAUCUAUCUUUCCAUGUAGCUACAAUAAGUUCAUGAUAUUCACCUGUCUACCUAUUUAUUUAUCAUAAGUUCAUACCAAUGCCUCCCAUUCUAAUUCACUGCCAUAGAAGACAGCCUUUUUUUCCACUUUUCUUUCCUUUUUCUUUUUUUUUUUUUUUUGCCUUUUCUAGGGCUGCUCCUGAGGCAGAUGGAGGCUCCCAGGCUAGGGGUCCAAUUGGAGCUGUAGCCGCCAGCCUACGCCACAGCCACAACAAUGUGGGAUCCAAGCCGCGUCUGCAACCUACACCACAGCUCACGGCAACACAGGAUCCUUAACCCACUGAGUAAGGCCAGGAAUUGAACCUGCAACCUCAUGGUUCCUAGUCAGAUUCGUUAACCACUGUGCCAUGACGGGAACUCCCUCUUUCCACUCUUCCAUGU
rnacentral:lncRNA from 1 species